rnacentral:rRNA from 1 species
GAUGAACGCUGGCGGCGUGCCUAAUACAUGCAAGUCGAGCGAACAGACGAGGAGCUUGCUCCUUCGACGUUAGCGGCGGACGGGUGAGUAACACGUAGGUAACCUACCUAUAAGACUGGGAUAACUUCGGGAAACCGGAGCUAAUACCGGAUAAUAUUUCGAACCGCAUUGUUCGUUAGUGAAAGAUGGCUUUGCUAUCACUUAUAGAUGGACCUGCGCCGUAUUACCUAGUUGGUAAGGUAACGGCUUACCCAGGCAACGAUACGUAGCCGACCUGAGAGGGUACUCGGCAACACUAGAACUGAGACACGAUAAAAACUCCUACGAGAGGCAGCAGUAGGGAAUCUUCCGCAAUGGGCGAAAGCCUGACGGAGCAACGCCGCGUAAGGGAUGAAGGUCUUCGGAUCGUAAAACCCUGUUAUUAGGGAGGAACAAACGUGUAAGUAACUGUGCACGUCUUGCCGGUACCUAAUCAGAAAGCAACGGCUAACUACGUG